ensembl:lncRNA
AAAGAAGAGAUUAUGAUUUACCCUGUCUUCCCUUUUUUCCUUUGACAGUCUGCUAAGUGCAUAACUAUGCUCAUGGCAUUCAGAGCAGUCUGACCCACUCAUGCCAAAUCAGUAGAUGAUACCUUCUCCAGGAGACAGACUCUGCAAAGAAACAGCUGUGGAAAGUCAGUGGGUAUCACCAGUCCUAAGCCUUCUUUGAAUAUCUUGCAGCUGAAUUUUGGGACCAAAAUAAGUUCUGGCAUGAUGGAAGGAUUUCAGGUGUGUGAAGGCCUCCUUGAAAAAACAAAAUGAAGUACCAGGGCAUUGUUUUGGAAAUGGAAAUGCACCCAGCAGUAGGUAGAAACCCAAAUUCCUUUGCGCUGCAGUUUCCAUCACAGAAAAAACA